rnacentral:rRNA from 1 species
CAGUAGCCGCGGGAAUACGUAGGGUGCGAGCGUUAAUCGGAAUUACUGGGCGUAAAGCGUGCGCAGGCGGUUCGUUAAGACAGAUGUGAAAUCCCCGGGCUUAACCUGGGAACUGCAUUUGUGACUGGCGAGCUAGAGUAUGGCAGAGGGGGGUAGAAUUCCACGUGUAGCAGUGAAAUGCGUAGAGAUGUGGAGGAAUACCGAUGGCGAAGGCAGCCCCCUGGGCCAAUACUGACGCUCAUGCACGAAAGCGUGGGGAGCAAACAGGAUUAGAUACCCCGGUAGUCCCUGUCUCUUAUAU